rnacentral:tRNA from 1 species
AAGAAGUAGUUUAAUAAAAAUAUUAAUUUUGGAGAUUAAAGAUAAAUAGAAUUAUUUCUUUUUGAU